rnacentral:lncRNA from 1 species
GAAAUAAGUAUCCAUAAUUUGUCGGUAACCAACACGUUUCCGACUUAGAGAGCAGACUUACUUUGCGUGAAGCCGUGAAUAGUAAAACCAAUAGCCAACAACUUUUUGGGGGAGUAAGGCAUAUAAGUUCAUGAGUCUUAUUAUGAUGUGAUAUGGUAAUGUCAUCGAUUUUGUACUUCAAAGAAGAAGACACUAAGAGAGGAAACCACCUUAACAUAAGAAAAAUGAAUAUAAAUUGAAGGCAACGAGCUAAUAAAAGAACAUAAGGUGUUAGAAAAAAAUUGAAAGAAAAAAACACCUUCUGCAAGAGCAUUUUUAAGUGCAAAAAUACAAAAAACAACUGAAAAUCAUCUGAGAAAAGAAACCUAAAAAGAUCAGGUUGCUCAUGCGAAGAAGUGGAUUAUAAUGGAGACAAAUAAAACUACAUGAGAUAACUCAAUAAUAUGAUUAAUUAUAAUUCGCAUAAAAAGUUACAGAAGUUUACUCAGAAACAAGAAGGAAUUCCAUAUAAGCUUACUAUAAACUUUAAACCAAGAAAAUUGUGGAGCAGACAGACAUGAAAUUAAACAUAUAAGUUACAUGAUUAUCCCAUAAACAAUAAAAUAUAUGUUUUUAUGCUGUUUUUCAGAAAGAAGAAAGCAAUAAUUCUGGAACUUGCACCCAGCUUUAAUACUCUUCCGCAAAGAAAACUAAAGAACUUCCUAAUUCCUAUGCUUCAGUACUAACAGUGAAUUAUAUAACUCAAAGUAUGGUUAAUAUCAAGAUUGAGGCUUGAAACAGUCAGAUUUGCAACCAGUGAUGUGACUAACACCCAUUUAAGCUCAUGGAGAACUUUGGGAAAUAAAACCUGACACUUGUGCAAGAGUUUAUUGAGAGGUACUAAAAUUAAUUAUCUAAUCUCUUGGAAAACACAAAAUGUAGAUUGUUAUACAGCACACAGAACAAGAUAAUCUACCUUCCUCCAAUAAAUCAACUUUUUAUGACAUUGUAAACUUUUUCUAAACAAAACAAUAAUAUUGCUGAGAUUGAGAAAUCAUAUCCUCAGACAUCAACCAAAGGCACAGUCAGAUCAGAGCCAAAAUCAUAAACUUCACCAGUUUAAAUAAUAUGCUUCCUGUGGAAACCCUUCAAUCAUCAUUGCUCAUUCAAAUACUGUUACAAGAAUAUUAUCCUAUAUGAAGCUCAUAAACCAUGCAUAACAGUUAGUAUCUGUAGACUAAUAUUUUAUAUCACACAUACACACACAAAAAAACAAUAGAUCAGGUUAAAAUCCCAAGGAAGAUCAUCCUAAUCAAAGGCUCGCAAUGAUGCAGAGAUCAUCCAGAGAAUCGGGACCACAAAGCAAAGAAAAAAACUACGCUAAACUACUCCAAAACAAAGAAUUUUAAUUUUUUUUAAUAUUUCAUUGGAAAAAAGAAGAUAGCUAAGCAAGAAAGAUUCUGUAGUCAGCACGAGAAAAAGAAUCUUUUUGAUCAAAUAUACCAAUUUUACUUGGAACAUAGUUCGUUUUGGUACGCAGUACGAAUACGGGUAUGCGGUACACUACUUAGUUACCUUUAAAUAAGUUCUUAUAGUAGGAAUUCGCUUAGAAUCUAGAUGUAAUAAACCUAAGUUUUAUUGAAGAUUUUUAGCUUAAUCAAGAAGUUGUAAAUAAUUUAGUACAAAUGUAAUUUUGAGCAUCCAAUACUAAGUUAUAAUUUUGAUAUUUGACGAAUUAUAGUUAAGGCAACAAAGAAAUUUCCCGGUACGCUAUAUUUAGGGUAUUGGUAUGUAAGAGUACCAUAUUUGAUACGCGAUUCGCUAGGUCAAUGAGAGUAUCUGGUAACUCUGAAAUAUACAUAGCACUAAUGGAUCCAUCCACACAGAAGUACUUCAAGCUGCGAUCUCUAAACUGAAUAUGUGAAGCAAAUGUGCCGUUAUCAGCUUAGUACAAAAAGCACACAAGCCAGGUGAUCAUCAAGGAUAUAGUAAAUACUGAAUGGAAACUAAAUAUGAAAAAUAAAUUGAUUAGGUGAUUGUCAAUGCCUUUUGUGACUACAAUUAAUUUCCAAUAAUAAUUAAAAAUGCAAGUGAAAAGGAAACAACCCCUCAACAUAAGAAAGGGUGUGAGUGUGUUUGUAUGAUACAAAUAUAUCAUAUAUACAAGGGAACACUUGCCAAUGUUGCUAUAAUAUACAAUAUCAAAUGACUUUAAUAUAGAAUAUGCUUGAGGAAUUAGUCUGAUUCCAGAAUAACAAAUGCAGAGAUAUUCAUGUAUCCAAUAUAACAAAUAUGAUCAUUGGAGCUUACAAAAGCUUCAUACAUCUUUUCGUGCACCUAAUGACAAAAGAGUUGUUAGUGGAAAGGGAAACUUGUCAGUAACGCUGAAAAUGAAUUAGAAUAUUCUCCUAAAUUCCAACUAUAUCAUUUGUUUUACACUAUCAAGCAUCUGAAGAUGCCCAUUAACAGAGUGAUUAUCAUCAAAACCAUAAGUUUGGAGGCACACAGCAUUCCUGAAAAUUGUGUCGAUUGCUUCCAUCAAACUAGCUACAAAUCAAAAUGUUUUGAUGUAGUCGAUCAUUGUAUUCACUAAAAUGAGUAGCACUUUUUACAUAGUUUAAAAAAGUCUUCAUUGUAUUCACAAAGAUUAACACUGUGUUUGUGAGUUUCAAAAUGGAGAGAAAAGAAAUCCCUUGUUUGUGAGUUUUUAGAGGAGAGAAAAGAAAAGAGAAGGAAGAAAUUUUUCAAAAAAUCCUCCCAAAAUUGGGAAUAUUUGGAAGGAAAUUUGUUAAACGCUUAGCUUACAAACUAAGAUACCAAAACUACCCAUAUAAUAAUUUCUAAAAUAUAAUCUCAUAAGGGUAAAAUAAUAAUAUGCUAUUUUAAGUUAAAAUUUCCUUCCAAAACUCAUAAACACGAGGAAAGAAAGUAAAUUUCCUUUCCUUCACUCUCCUUUCUCUCAAAAAUUUUAAAUUCAUUUCUUUUCUUCUCUCCCCAAACUCACAAACACAUUGUAAAGGAAUCCAUGUCAAUUUUGAGUUAAAAAUAUCUUAAGUUGACUUCAAAAAGUCAAUAAUGAUCUUAUAUUUUGGAUUGGAGGGAGUAUAAUAUAUGGGGGCUGGUAUAGCAUUGCAGAAGCAUUUGCACACAAGCAAGAUAGAGAGUAUCAGGACUGAGGUGAAAAUGACCCCAAAAAGGUAAGACUCGAGACUAAAAUUGUGCAAGGCCCACUAAACAACAGCUGAAACACACAGGAAUAUAGAUAGAUUUUACAGAAAGUCGUUUUCGAAAACAGAUUGCGGAGAAGAUAAUGAAGAGAGAGAUUUAGAAUCUAGUUUAAAGACUUCUCACCUGCACAUGCAAUUACACCCUCAUCCCAUAGUCUCCACGCUAACUCAUGUUGAAGGUAAACAAGAGGGGAAUACAAUCAACAAACUUCAAGCUAAAAUCAACUCAAUGAAGCCUAAUUCUAAACUAGGAGAGUCGGAUUCAAAAUCUUACAGAACUAGCUCCACACCCUUCAUUUACUUAUAAGCCACCUAUGACUCCCAAACCCACGUAAUGAAAAUUUUCUAAACCAAGCUGCUGAGUAGGUAAUCCAAAUUAAUGGGGGAACCAAAAUAUAACUUGGAGCCUCAACUCUAGAGUCUACAAGCGCAACCAGGAAAUAAAUUGAAAUCAAAAGGAAAAAGAAAAAAGAAAGCAUUCAUGUAUGGAUAAAGUGAUUCAGUUGGAAACGGCAACCAAAGCCACAAAGGUGAAUAGAACAACUUAAACUAUGUCUACCAUGUCUCAGUAACUUAUCCUAUGGUACAGGGAUGUAAUUGUUGAGUAAUGUCCCUUAAAAUAUUUUCUAUUCUUAUGCUUUCCAAAUUAGUUGAUUAUAUUAUUAUUAGUUAAGGUAGUGGGUGGUGUGAGAUACACAACACAAAACAUCUUUCGCAAUCUCUCUUCUUCUUCUCCAAAACCUAAUAUUUAAGAGUAAUAAACCAAUAAUCGUGGAAAUGUAUUGAAUAAAUGAUGGUUCAGGUCCGGCAUUAACUAAAUUAACACAAUAAAGGGUGUGUUCCAUAUCUAAUUGAUUACUUUUUUGUUCGUCAAUGAUUGAAGUUUCGAGGGUUGGAGAGAGAGCUUGGGGGUCUCAACAGGUAAAGAAAGAUAACUGUUCAGCUAUUCCCGAGACAGCCAAGCUCAUCAGAUGACUAGUUAGUAAUGCAUUGCACAACAGGAAAAUAUAAUUGAUAAUAUGUAUCUUUAACCUUGUUCCCUACAGAAUAGGAAGCUUAUGUAGCUACACAUAUUUUAUUGGUAAAUUAUAGAGACUUGAGUAAAACUCAUAUAAACAGGUUGAAGGCCACAAACAAAUAGCAUUACAUGACUUGGGCAAAACUUACCAAAAUAAAGUAAAGGGCAAAAAUAACCCAUCAAUGAACCAUCAGUUUUCAUGAACACUUUAAUCACCCUGAAGCAGGGAAUCCUACAUACAGACUUAAAUGUUAAUAUGGUAAGUUAUUACACUUUAACUGAAAACUGAUCCAAAAACAUGUCAAAAUGUAGAUAACAAGGACAAUAAGUGCCAGUGCAGCCACUACCAUCGGUAUAGUAAAUAUGUUACAAUUUUAAAGUUAACUUCAGCAGUUUGUAUAAUUAGAAUUAUAAGCUCACAGGAAUAUAGAUCCCCAAAGGAAAAAAUUACUACUUUUAGAAUCUACUUUUAAUUGAGUUACUAAUAUAUCCGAAUCUACACAUAGAUAACACACAAAAACAUCUGAAGAUCAAACCAACUUCAUAAUUACCAUCAUCGUGUUCCCGUACGCUAUAUGGGAGGGGAGAACUAACCAAAAAAAUAACAAACAAAAGGUUAAUAAACAAUAGAUAGAGAUACAAGGGCGAAAUUCUAUGAAUAUUUGCAUAUAAAUACUUAUAUUCAUGAUCAUCACAUAACGUAAUUUUUUCCAAGUAAAAUUAUCAGGAUGAUCAAGUUUAAAUGAAAUGGAUAUAGAACGAAUCCAUGAUAAAAUGAUUUAUUUAUUUUAAAUUAAAAAAAAUGUUAAUAAGAAAACGUUAUGCUUAAUUAAAUUUUACCAAUAGCAAUGAUCGUCAUCGAAAUCCGGGAUCACACCCCUAUGCUAUGAUGACCGAUUAAUCGGAAAGUGCAAAUAUUUGUGGUUGUAUAUAACUGGAAGAUACAGAGAAAGAGGUAAUUAAUUUUGGAGGAGAAGACGGUGACAUAUAUAUAGCGGUUGGGUAGCUUCUACCCAAAACAGUAGACGAAAUUUGGACUGGACCGCCCACCGCAACCGGCAAC